rnacentral:rRNA from 1 species
GCGGGGUAGAGAGACAGGUGGUGCAUGGUUGUCGUCAGCUCGUGUCGUGAGAUGUUGGGUUAAGUCCCGCAACGAGCGCAACCCUUAUUGAUAGUUGCCAGCAGUAAGAUGGGCACUCUAUUGAGACUGCCUGGGUUAACCAGGAGGAAGGUGGGGAUGACGUCAAAUCAUCAUGCCCCUUAUGUCUAGGGCAACACACGUGCUACAAUGGUGAGAACAACAAGAUGCAAGACCGCAAGGUGGAGCAAAACUCAAAAACUCAUCCCAGUUCGGAUUGUAGGCUGAAACUCGCCUACAUGAAGCCGGAGUUGCUAGUAAUCGCGAAUCAGCAUGUCGCGGUGAAUACGUUCCCGGGCCUUGUACACACCGCCCGUCACACCAUGAGAGCUUGCAACACCCGAAGUCCGUAGUCUAACCGUAAGGAGGACGCGGCCGAAGGUGGGGUAGGUGAUUGGGGUGAAGUCGUAACAAGGUAGCCGUAGGAGAACCUGCGGCU